rnacentral:rRNA from 1 species
ACACUCCUGCGGGAGGCAGCAGUGGGGAAUUUUGGACAAUGGGCGAAAGCCUGAUCCAGCCAUGCCGCGUGCAGGAUGAAGGCCUUCGGGUUGUAAACUGCUUUUGUACGGAACGAAACGGCCUUUUCUAAUAAAGAGGGCUGAUGACGGUACCGUAAGAAUAAGCACCGGCUAACUACGUGCCAGCAGCCGCGGUAAUACGUAGGGUGCAAGCGUUAAUCGGAAUUACUGGGCGUAAAGCGUGCGCAGGCGGUUAUGUAAGACAGUUGUGAAAUCCCCGGGCUCAACCUGGGAACUGCAUCUGUGACUGCAUAGCUAGAGUACGGUAGAGGGGGAUGGAAUUCCGCGUGUAGCAGUGAAAUGCGUAGAUAUGCGGAGGAACACCGAUGGCGAAGGCAAUCCCCUGGACCUGUACUGACGCUCAUGCACGAAAGCGUGGGGAGCAAACAGGAUUAGAUACCCGUGUAGUCCCA